CCGGCCGCGCUCCCCACCUUGCCUGCGCUUGAUAAGAGCCAGCGGUCCUCUACGCACGCACCCCGCAUCCAGUGAGACGCGCCGCGCACCGACGGAGCGGACAUGGGCAGAGCGAUGGUGGCCAGACUCGGACUGUGGCUGCUGCUUCUGGCACUGCUCUUACCUACGCAGAUUUAUUCAAAUCAAACAACUCUUGUAACAGUUUCAAGUAACUCCACCCACAGUACUUCGGCCGCCCCCAAUCCAGCGAAUGCCACCACCAAGGCAAGUGACGGUGCUCUGCAGUCCACAGCCAGUCUCUUCGUGCUCUCGGUCUCCCUUCUACAUCUCUACUGUUAAGAGACUCAGGCCAAGAAACAUCUAUUCUUCCCCAUAUUCUAAACCCAAAUCAAAUGGCAUCUAGACAUCCAGUGUGACAAGGAAAAAAAAAAAAAAAAGAAUCUUCAUUCAAUGAAUCUGCUAAUCCCACACCUAAUUUUACUGACAGAGAAUGUCGAGGAUCCCAAAUUUAAUUGGUUUGAAGAGCAUGUGAAGGGUUUGACUAGCUGAUGAAUGCCAUUAUUAAAUCUGCUGGAGUUUCCUGUACAAGAUGAAGAUCAACAACCUCCAAAAUUAGUUGAGAUGAUUUCCUUAAAUGUGGCUUAAGAAGUAUGGACCCAUAAAACUCUACCUUGAAAAUGAGAAUAGAUUUUUAUCUUAGAAAGAAUGUGAUGUGGAACAGAGAUUCAGUUUUCAUUUGGUUCAUUAAAUUUAUAAGACCAUAAAAUAAUUAGGUAAUACAGAAAGUUUUCAUGAUUCUACUUAUACGUACAUUAGGAGGAACUUCCAAGUGUUACUGUACAUCCCAAGUGUACUGUUUUCAGCAGUACUGAUUUAAUACUGAUGUACUCAAGAUAAUUUUAUGAUAAGCUCUCACUGUUCUCUUGGGAACUGAACUCUUUCCUCUGGGGCUUUGGGUUUGACAUUGUGUUUGACUGUUUAUGUAGCAAUGUGCCAGGGCAAUGAUGGAUUGGAAUGACCCUAAAUCCAAGCAUAAUGAGUACAUUUGGCUUAUAUACUUAUCAAUUAUUCAAUAAGAGUGCUAGAUUCAUUUAACUAAAUGAUAACCAAGAGUAGUACAUUGAUCUCAACUGAUUUCAAAAUGCUUUUUAUUCCUGCAUAUGUUGAGUACUUUUUAAAGUUUAAAAAAAAAGUGAUCUGUUUUGAAGGUAAAUUUGACAAAUCUUGAAAUUAAAAAGGCAAUCAUGUGAAUGAGCCAAACUGUAAAUCAAAUAUUUGGAAAGUGAAGACUGGAAGCUUGCUUAUAUUAAAUUCAGAAAAACUUUUAUACUCUUCUCUGUAAAUACUUUUUUUAAAAAAAUUGAAUCAGAAUAGCCACAUUUGGAACACUUUCUGUUAACAGUCAAUAUUUUUAGAUAGUUAGAACCUGGUCCUAAGCCUAAAGUGGACUUGAUUUUGGAAAGUAAAUCUUUUCACGACUGCCUCAAUGCAGAGAAACCUUUUUAAAACUAGACACUCCCUAAAGUCUUUUGUUCGCAUGGUCACACACUGAUGCUUAGAUGUUCCAGAAUUGAAUAUGGCCACAGUAGUCUUGAUAACCAAAGUCAUUUCCCUCCCCCCUCCCCCGCCCGGAUCUUUAGAAACCUACACUGGAACAGCCACAUCCAACAGAUCUCAAGCUACUGUGUGUGUGAAUGAACAUUCCCUCUUGUUUCAUACCUGAAUGCUGUACAUCUCUUUUGGAUUGUAUAUUGUGUUUGUGUAUUUAUGCUUUGAUUCAUAGUAACUUCUCAUGUUAUGGAAUUGAUUUGCAUUAAACACAAACUGUAAAUAAAAAAUGGCUGAAAGAGCAA